rnacentral:rRNA from 1 species
UACAUGGGGUGCAAACGUUGCUCGGAAUUAUUGGGCGUAAAGCGCGCGUAGGCGGUUACUCAAGUCGGAUGUGAAAUCCCAUGGCUCAACCAUGGACGUGCAUUCGAAACUGCGAAGCUUGAGUAUGGAAGAGGGUCGCGGAAUUCCCGGUGUAGAGGUGAAAUUCGUAGAUAUCGGGAGGAACACCAGUGGCGAAGGCGGCGACCUGGGCCAAUACUGACGCUGAGGUGCGAAAGCGUGGGGAGCAAACAGG